AUGCGAUAAUGAUAUGCCAAUCACAAAACUUAAGCAGCAUGUAGAGCGGAUCAGCUCAUUGGGUUCGUUUAAAGUAGAAUUAGCUGCGAAUUCGGAAACCGAAACAUUUCGAAUAGUUGGCUAAUUACAGCCAGGGAAUUUGGCAUUUUCAUUAGCUCACCGAUAGAAAACCAUCGAAUUUCCUGUACUAUACCAUACUAUACGAAAAGGAAUAACAAAUUACGGGCUUUUGUGCAGCGCUGAUCCUGAUCCUUAGCCUGACUGACACAACAACGGGCCAAUUAACUGCUGCCAAGAAAUGCUGGGAAUCAAAAA
rnacentral:sRNA from 1 species